UGUGGGAGGGAAAUGAUAUGUUGGAGAAUUAUACGCUGAAAAAAUUGCCAUAGCAUUAGCCCUCUUACAUUUGUUCACAUAUUAAGGCUUUAAGUUGUGAAAUUGAAAAAGUGAAGCACACCGGGAUAGGAGCUGGAUUCUUUAUGAAGGCCGUUUUGAGAUCAUGAUUUUUGCACGGAGUACGUAAUAGUAAUAUCUGAGUGAGUACAUAGGAGGAAGCUAAGGAGUGAUCAUGCUCCAAAAGGUAUAGCGGAUCAAAUCAGCGUUUGUGGCAUCAAGUUCCUUUUGGAGCCUAAUGACUUGCCUUUGGAGCACUGAAAUGGCCCCAACACAGCCAUAAACUGGAUCCUUUAUCCGUGCC